rnacentral:rRNA from 1 species
GACGAACGCUGGCGGCGUGCUUAACACAUGCAAGUCGAACGGAAAGGCCCUGCUUUUUUGGGGUUCUCGAGUGGCGAACGCGUGAGUAACACGUGAGUAACCUGCCCUUGACUUUGGGAUAACUUCAGGAAACUGGGGCUAAUACCAGAUAGAAUCUCCUGCUGCAUGGUGGGGGUUGGAAAGUUUCGGCGGUUGGGGAUGGACUCGCGGCUUAUCAGCUUGUUGGUUGGGUAGUUGCUUACCAAGGCUUUGACGGGUAGCCGGCCUGAGAGGGUGACCGGCCACAUUGCGACUGAGAGAGGGCCCAGACUCCUACGGGAGGCAGCAGUGGGGAAUAUGGCACAAUGGGCGGAAGCCUGAUGCAGCAACGUCGCGUGCGGGAUGACGGCCUUCGGGUUAUAAACCGCUUUCGCCUGUGACGAAGCGUGAGUGACGGUAAUGGGUAAAGAAGCACCGGCUAACUACGUG